rnacentral:rRNA from 1 species
GAACGCUAGCGGCGCGCUUAAUGCAUGCAAGUCGAGCGAUGAGACUCCUACGGGAGCACAUCAGCGGCAGACGGGUGAGUAACACGUAGAUGACGUACCCUCAAGACGGGGAUAACGGAUGGAAACAUGCGCCAAUACCGGAUGACCUUACGAUGUCAGAAUGGUAAGGAAAGCUACGGCGCUUGAGGAGCGGUCUGCGGCCCAUCAGCUAGUUGGUAGGGUAAAGGCCUACCAAGGCGAAGACGGGUAGGGGGUGUGAGAGCACGGACCCCCACAAUGGGACUGAGACACGGGCCAUACUCCUACGGGAGGCAGCAGCAGGGAAUAUUGCACAAUGGACGGAAGUCUGAUGCAGCGACGCCGCGUGAGUGAAGAAGGCCUUCGGGUUGUAAACAUCAAAAGAGGGGGAAGACCGAGGCCGGUACCCCUGAGAAUAAGCGUAGGCUAACUACGUGCCAGCAGCCGCGGUAAGACGUAGGACGCGAGCGUUAUCCGGAUUUACUGGGCGUAAAGCGUCUGUAGGCGGAUGUGUAAGUAGCGCGUGAAAGCUCCGGGCUUAACCCGGAGAGNCCGUUCAAUACUGCAUAACUUGAGGGUGUCAGAGGGGAGCGGAAUUCCCGGUGUAGCGGUAAAAUGCGCAGAGAUCGGGAGGAACACCAGUGGCGGAGGCGGUUCCCUGGGGCACACCUGACGCUGAGAGACGAAAGCUAGGGGAGCGAGCAGGAUUAGAGACCCUGGUAGUCCUAGCCCUAAACGAUGAAUGCUAGGUGUGGGAUCGAAUGGUUCCGUGCCGGAGCGAACGCGAUAAGCAUUCCGCCUGGGAAGUACGGCCGCAAGGUUAAAACUCAAACGAAUUGACGGGGCCCCGCACAAGCAGCGGAGCGUGUGGUUUAAUUCGAUGCUACACGAAGAACCUUACCUGGGUUUGACAUGUAGGUGGUAGUGAAUCGAAAGGUGAACGACCCUUCGGGGAGCCUACACAGGUGCUGCAUGGCUGUCGUCAGCUCGUGCCGUGAGGUGUCGGGUUAAGUCCCGUAACGAGCGCAACCCUUGCUCCUAGUUACAAGUGUCUAGGGGGACUGCCGGCGGAAAGCCGGAGGAAGGUGGGGAUGACGUCAAGUCAGCAUGGCCCUUAUAUCCAGGGCUACACACACGCUACAAUGGUCGGUACAAAGGGCAGCGAAACCGCGAGGCGGAGCGAAUCCGAGAAAAGCCGAUCGUAGUUCGGAUAGCAGGCUGCAACCCGCCUGCUUGAAGCUGGAGUUGCUAGUAACCGCGCGUCAGCCAUAGCGCGGUGAUACGUUCCCGGGGCUUGUACACACCGCCCGUCACGUCAUGGGAGUCGGUAACGCCUGAAGCCGGUAGUCUAACUGGAAACAGGAGACGCUGUCGAGGGCGGGACUGGCAACUGGGACGAAGUCGU